UUUAUGGAGAGUUUGAUCCUGGCUCAGGAUGAACGCUGGCGGCGUGCCUAAUACAUGCAAGUCGAGCGAACGGACGAGAAGCUUGCUUCUCUGAUGUUAGCGGCGGACGGGUGAGUAACACGUGGAUAACCUACCUAUAAGACUGGGAUAACUUCGGGAAACCGGAGCUAAUACCGGAUAAUAUUUUGAACCGCAUGGUUCAAAAGUGAAAGACGGUCUUGCUGUCACUUAUAGAUGGAUCCGCGCUGCAUUAGCUAGUUGGUAAGGUAACGGCUUACCAAGGCAACGAUGCAUAGCCGACCUGAGAGGGUGAUCGGCCACACUGGAACUGAGACACGGUCCAGACUCCUACGGGAGGCAGCAGUAGGGAAUCUUCCGCAAUGGGCGAAAGCCUGACGGAGCAACGCCGCGUGAGUGAUGAAGGUCUUCGGAUCGUAAAACUCUGUUAUUAGGGAAGAACAUAUGUGUAAGUAACUGUGCACAUCUUGACGGUACCUAAUCAGAAAGCCACGGCUAACUACGUGCCAGCAGCCGCGGUAAUACGUAGGUGGCAAGCGUUAUCCGGAAUUAUUGGGCGUAAAGCGCGCGUAGGCGGUUUUUUAAGUCUGAUGUGAAAGCCCACGGCUCAACCGUGGAGGGUCAUUGGAAACUGGAAAACUUGAGUGCAGAAGAGGAAAGUGGAAUUCCAUGUGUAGCGGUGAAAUGCGCAGAGAUAUGGAGGAACACCAGUGGCGAAGGCGACUUUCUGGUCUGUAACUGACGCUGAUGUGCGAAAGCGUGGGGAUCAAACAGGAUUAGAUACCCUGGUAGUCCACGCCGUAAACGAUGAGUGCUAAGUGUUAGGGGUUUCCGCCCCUUAGUGCUGCAGCUAACGCAUUAAGCACUCCGCCUGGGGAGUACGACCGCAAGGUUGAAACUCAAAGGAAUUGACGGGGACCCGCACAAGCGGUGGAGCAUGUGGUUUAAUUCGAAGCAACGCGAAGAACCUUACCAAAUCUUGACAUCCUUUGACAACUCUAGAGAUAGAGCUUUCCCCUUCGGGGGACAAAGUGACAGGUGGUGCAUGGUUGUCGUCAGCUCGUGUCGUGAGAUGUUGGGUUAAGUCCCGCAACGAGCGCAACCCUUAAGCUUAGUUGCCAUCAUUAAGUUGGGCACUCUAAGUUGACUGCCGGUGACAAACCGGAGGAAGGUGGGGAUGACGUCAAAUCAUCAUGCCCCUUAUGAUUUGGGCUACACACGUGCUACAAUGGACAAUACAAAGGGCAGCGAAACCGUGAGGUCAAGCAAAUCCCAUAAAGUUGUUCUCAGUUCGGAUUGUAGUCUGCAACUCGACUACAUGAAGCUGGAAUCGCUAGUAAUCGUAGAUCAGCAUGCUACGGUGAAUACGUUCCCGGGUCUUGUACACACCGCCCGUCACACCACGAGAGUUUGUAACACCCGAAGCCGGUGGAGUAACCUUUUAGGAGCUAGCCGUCGAAGGUGGGACAAAUGAUUGGGGUGAAGUCGUAACAAGGUAGCCGUAUCGGAAGGUGCGGCUGGAUCACCUCCUUUCU
rnacentral:rRNA from 1 species